rnacentral:rRNA from 1 species
GAUGAACGCUGGCGGCGUGCCUAAUACAUGCAAGUCGAGCGAACGGACGAGAAGCUUGCUUCUCUGAUGUUAGCGGCGGACGGGUGAGUAACACGUGGAUAACCUACCUAUAAGACUGGGAUAACUUCGGGAAACCGGAGCUAAUACCGGAUGAUAUUUUGAACCGCAUGGUUCAAAAGUGAAAGACGGUCUUGCUGUCACUUAUAGAUGGAUCCGCGCUGCAUUAGCUAGUUGGUAAGGUAACGGCUUACCAAGGCAACGAUGCAUAGCCGACCUGAGAGGGUGAUCGGCCACACGGGAAGUGAGACACGGUCCAGACUCCUACGGGAGGCAGCAGUAGGGAAUCUUCCGCAAUGGGCGAAAGCCUGACGGAGCAACGCCGCGUGAGUGAUGAAGGUCUUCGGAUCGUAAAACUCUGUUAUUAGGGAAGAACAUAUGUGUAAGUAACUGUGCACAUCUUGACGGUACCUAAUCAGAAAGCCACGGCUAACUACGUG